AUAGCAGCACUUUUGUUUAAAAGGUCACUUCUAGCAUCCACUGUGAUGAUUAGCGUUGCCUCAAAGGAACUUUAGUGUCUGGCUACAGACAUCCUCCAGUUCCUUCUUGGUGUGCCCCUUCUUUCAGGUUUACUUUCAUAUUCCUUUUCAUUUCUGUUUGGAGAUUUUCUGACACAACAUUUAUCCUUUCAUUGCCCUUUAUUUAAAUCAGGUUUACCCUUUGCAAGGACAAGAAUAGUUCUAAAUUGUGGUGAGAACACUUAAGAUCUAUUAAAAUAUAUAGAUAUCUCCACAAUUUAGUAUUCGUAGCUAGGGGCAAAAUAUUGUGCAACAGACCUCUCAAAUUUUUUUAUCCUGUCUAACUGAAACUUGAUACUCCUGGACCAAUAUCUCCCCAUAUCAUCCUCCCCUUAGUCCCUGGCAACCACUAUUCUACUCUGAUAUAAGUUUGACUAGUUUCAAUACUUCAUCUAAGUAGAAUCAUGCAGUAUUUGUUCUUUGAGGACUGGUUUAUUUUACACAGCACGGUGUUCACAAGGUUCAUUCACGUUGUUACACAUGACAGGGUCAUCUUUUUUAAAAGGCUGAAUAAUAUUGUAUUUCUGUAUAUACCAUAUUUUCUUUA
rnacentral:lncRNA from 1 species